rnacentral:rRNA from 1 species
UGAAUACGAGACGCUAAGGCGUCGAAGUAGUGUAUGUCAUACUUCCAAGAAAAGCUUGCACUGUCAUAGAUAAAAAACGCCUGUACCAUAACCGACACAGGUGGGUAGGUAGAGUAUACUAAGGGGCGCGAGAUAGCUCUCUCUAAGGAACUCGGCAAAAUAACUCCGUAACUUCGGGAGAAGGAGUGCCUUAUUCUUAAGGUUGCAAUAACAAGAUCCAAGCAACUGUUUAUCAAAAACACAGGUCUCCGCUAAGUCGUAAGACGAUGUAUGGGGGCUGACGCCUGCCCAGUGCCAGAAGGUUAAAGAAGCUGGUUAGCAUUUGCGAAGCUAGUAACUGAAGCCCUGGUGAACGGCGGCCGUAACGAUAACGUUCCUAAGGUAGCGAAAUUCCUUGUCGGGUAAGUUCCGACCCGCACGAAAGGCGUAAUGAUUUGGAUACUGUCUCGGAGAGGGGCUCGGUGAAAUAGACUUGUCUGUGAAGAUGCGGACUACCUGCACCAGACAGAAAGACCCUAUGAAGCUUUACUGUAACUUGAAAUUGAAAUUGGACUUUAUUCGCGCAGUAUAGGUGGGAGGCGUUGAUUAUAAUCUUGCGGGAUUAUUGGAGCCAUUAGUGAGAUACCACUCUUGUAAUGUUAGAUUUCUAACUUUGAAUCAUUAUCUGGUCAAAGAACAGUUUCAGGCGGGCAGUUUGACUGGGGCGGUCGCCUCCUAAACGGUAACGGAGGCGUACAAAGGUUUCCUCUGAACGGUUAGAAAUCGUAUCUAGAGUGUAAAGGCAUAAGGAAGCUUGACUGUGAGACCUACAAGUCGAGCAGGGACGAAAGUCGGUCUUAGUGAUCUGACGGUACUGAGUGGAAAGGCCGUCACUCAACGGAUAAAAGUUACUCUAAGGAUAACAGGCUGGUCUCCCCCAAGAGUUCACAUCGACGGGGAGGUUUGGCACCUCGAUGUCGGCUCAUCGCAUCCUGGGGCGGUAGUACGUCCCAAGGGUUGGGCUGUUCGCCCAUGAAAGCGGUACGCGAGCUGGGUUCAGAACGUCGUGAGACAGUUCGGUCCAUAUCCGGUGUAGGCGUUAGAAUAUUGAGAGGAGCCUUCUUUAGUACGAGAGGACCGAGAAGGACAUACCUCUGGUGUACCAGUUAUCGUGCCAACGGUAAACGCUGGGUAGCUAUGUAUGGAGUGGAUAACCGCUGAAAGCAUCUAAGUGGGAAGCCCACCUCAAGAUAAGUAUUCUCAUCAU